rnacentral:rRNA from 1 species
ACGUCUUUUCCCCGCUUUCUCCUGAAUUACUGGGCGUAAAGCGCACGCAGGCGGCUGAUUAAGUCUGACGUGAAAUCUCCUGGCUUAACUGGGAGGGGUCGUUGGAAACUGGUCGGCUUGAGGCAGUGAGAGGGGUGUGGAAUUCCCGGUGUAGUGGUGGAAUGCGUAGAUAUCGGGAGGAACACCAGUGGCGAAAGCGGCGCCCUGGCACUGGCCUGACGCUCAUGUGCGAAAGCGUGGGGAGCGAACGG